GCGAGUGAAGCGGCAACAGCUCAAAUUUGAAAUCUGGCUUCGGCCCGAGUUGUAAUUUGCAGAGGAUGUUUCUGGCGCGGUGCCUUCCGAGUUCCCUGGAACGGGACGCCACAGAGGGUGAGAGCCCCGUAUGGUCGGACACCAAGCCUGUGUGAAACUCCUUCGACGAGUCGAGUAGUUUGGGAAUGCUGCUCAAAAUGGGAGGUAAAUCUCUUCUAAAGCUAAAUACCGGCCAGAGACCGAUAGCGCACAAGUAGAGUGAUCGAAAGAUGAAAAGCACCUUGAAAAGGGGGUUAAACAGUACGUGAAAUUGUUGAAAGGGAAGCGCUUGUGACCAGACUUGCGCCGGGCGGUUCAUCCGGGGUUCUCCCCGGUGCACUCCGCCCGGUUCAGGCCAGCAUCGGUUCUCGUUGGGGGAUAAGAACGGCAGGAACGUGGCCCUCCUCCGGGAGGGUGUUAUAGCCUGCCGUACGAUACCCUGACGGGGACCGAGGUUCGCGCUCCGCAAGGAUGCUGGCGUAAUGGUCACCAGCGACCCGUCUU
rnacentral:rRNA from 1 species